rnacentral:rRNA from 1 species
CGAACGCUGGCGGCGUGCUUAACACAUGCAAGUCUAAGGAGAAAGCAGUCUUCGGAUUGUUAUUAAACUGGCGGACGGGUGAGUAACGCGUAGACAACCUACCCAGGGGACUGGGAUAACCUUGCGAAAGCGGGGCUAAUACCGGAUGAUGCCUGUUGAACCUCGGUUUAAUAGGUUAAAGGUGGCUUCGGCUACCACCUGUGGAUGGGUCUGCGUCUGAUUAGCUAGUUGGUAGGGUAAAAGCCUACCAAGGCAACGAUCAGUAGCUGGUCUGAGAGGAUGAUCAGCCACACUGGGACUGAGAUACGGCCCAGACUCCUACGGGAGGCAGCAGUGGGGAAUAUUGCGCAAUGGGCGAAAGCCUGACGCAGCAACGCCGCGUGAUCGAUGACGCUUUAAGGAGUGUAAAGAUCUGUCCUAAGGGAAGAAUAGUUCCAAGUCUAAUAGGCUUGGUUCAUGACGGUACCUUAGAAGAAAGCGCCGGCUAACUUC